rnacentral:lncRNA from 1 species
AGAGAAGAAAAGAAGAAGAAGAAGAGAGGGAAGAUGGAGAGGAGAGAGAGAGAGAGGUAGCAGCUGCAACUAGGGCUGCAGCACCUCUGUUUCCCGCAGGUGGAAACAGAGGAGAGGAUGUGUGGGGCGUUGGGGAGGAAAAGGGAAGAGGAAGAAGAAGAAGAAGAAGAAGAGAGGAGGAUAGCUGUGGCGAGGCUGCAGCGAGGAGGUGUGUGGCGUUGGGGAGGAAAAAGGAAGAGGAGAAGAAGAGAAGGAGAAGAGAGGGAAGAGGGAGAGGAGCGAGAGGUGGUAGCAGCUAGGGCUGCAGCACCUCUGUUUCCUGCAGGUGGAAACAGAGGAGAGGUGUGGGGCGUUCGAAGAGGAGAAGAAGAAGAAGAGGAAGUAGGAGAAGAGGUUGUGAUACCUCUGUUUCCUGCAGAGGAAACAGAGGAGAGGGUGUGUGUGACGCUGGGGAGGAGGAGGGAAGAAGAAGAGGAGAAGAAGAAGAGAAGGGAAAGGAGGAGCUGCGGCGGUGGAAUCUGCAGCUUGAAGAGAAGGAGAGGAAG